rnacentral:rRNA from 1 species
GAUGAACGCUGGCGGCGUGCUUAACACAUGCAAGUCGAACGGGAUCGGCUGGAGCUUGCUCCGGCCGUGAGAGUGGCGAACGGGUGAGUAAUGCGUGACCGACCUGCCCCAUACACCGGAAUAGCUCCUGGAAACGGGUGGUAAUGCCGGAUGCUCCAGUUGGAUGCAUGUCCUUCUGGGAAAGAUUCAUCGGUAUGGGAUGGGGUCGCGUCCUAUCAGGUAGUCGGCGGGGUAACGGCCCACCGAGCCUACGACGGGUAGCCGGCCUGAGAGGGCGACCGGCCACAUUGGGACUGAGAUACGGCCCAGACUCCUACGGGAGGCAGCAGUGGGGAAUAUUGCACAAUGGGCGCAAGCCUGAUGCAGCGACGCCGCGUGCGGGAUGACGGCCUUCGGGUUGUAAACCGCUUUUGACUGGGAGCAAGCCCUUCGGGG